rnacentral:rRNA from 1 species
CCUACGGGCGGCAGCAGUGAGGAAUAUUGGUCAAUGGACGAGAGUCUGAACCAGCCAAGUAGCGUGAAGGAUGACUGCCCUAUGGGUUGUAAACUUCUUUUAUAUGGGAAUAAAAUGUUCCACGUGUGGGAUUUUGUAUGUACCAUAUGAAUAAGGAUCGGCUAACUCCGGGCCAGCAGCCGCGGUAAUACGGAGGAUCCGAGCGUUAUCCGGAUUUAUUGGGUUUAAAGGGAGCGUAGGUGGAUUGUUAAGUCAGUUGUGAAAGUUUACGGCUCAACCGUAAAAUUGCAGUUGAAACUGGCAGUCUUGAGUACAGUAGAGGUGGGCGGAAUUCGUGGUGUAGCGGUGAAAUGCUUAGAUAUCACGAAGAACUCCGAUUGCGAAGGCAGUUCACUGGACUGCAACUGACACUGAGGCUCGAAAGUGUGGGUAUCAAACAGGAUUAGAUACCCCUGUAGUC